rnacentral:rRNA from 1 species
GAUCCUGGCUCAGGAUGAACGCUAGCUACAGGCUUAACACAUGCAAGUCGAGGGGAAACGAUAUUGGAAGCUUGCUUCCGAUAGGCGUCGACCGGCGCACGGGUGAGUAACGCGUAUCCAACUGCCCACCACUUGGGAUAACCUUGCGAAAGUAAGACUAAUACCCAAUGACGUCUCUAGAAGGCAUCUGAAAGGGAUUAAAGAUUUAUCGGUGAUGGAUGGGGAUGCGUCUGAUUAGCUUGUUGGCGGGGUAACGGCCCACCAAGGCAACGAUCAGUAGGGGUUCUGAGAGGAAGGUCCCCCACAUUGGAACUGAGACACGGUCCAAACUCCUACGGGAGGCAGCAGUGAGGAAUAUUGGUCAAUGGGCGAGAGCCUGAACCAGCCAAGUAGCGUGCAGGACGACGGCCCUAUGGGUUGUAAACUGCUUUUAUAGGGGGAUAAAGUGUGCCACGUGUGGCAUAUUGCAGGUACCCUAUGAAUAAGGACCGGCUAAUUCCGUG